rnacentral:rRNA from 1 species
AGUGAACGCUGGCGGUAGGCCUAACACAUGCAAGUCGAACGGCAGCACAGUAAGAGCUUGCUCUUACGGGUGGCGAGUGGCGGACGGGUGAGGAAUACAUCGGAAUCUACUUUUUCGUGGGGGAUAACGUAGGGAAACUUACGCUAAUACCGCAUACGGCCUACGGGUGAAAGCAGGGGAUCUUCGGACCUUGCGCGAUUGAAUGAGCCGAUGUCGGAUUAGCUAGUUGGCGGGGUAAAGGCCCACCAAGGCGACGAUCCGUAGCUGGUCUGAGAGGAUGAUCAGCCACACUGGAACUGAGACACGGUCCAGACUCCUACGGGAGGCAGCAGUGGGGAAUAUUGGACAAUGGGCGCAAGCCUGAUCCAGCCAUACCGCGUGGGUGAAGAAGGCCUUCGGGUUGUAAAGCCCUUUUGUUGGGAAAGAAAAGCAGCAGGUUAAUACCCUGCUGUUCUGACGGUACCCAAAGAAUAAGCACCGGCUAACUUCGUG